rnacentral:rRNA from 1 species
UACGAAGGGGGCUAGCGUUGUUCGGAAUUACUGGGCGUAAAGCGCGCGCAGGCGGUUCUUCAAGUCAGAGGUGAAAGCCCAGAGCUCAACUCUGGAAUGGCCUUUGAGACUAGAGAACUAGGGUACGGGAGAGGUGAGUGGGAUUCCGAGUGUAGAGGUGAAAUUCGUAGAUAUUCGGAAGAACACCAGUGGCGAAGGCGGCCUGCUGGGCAGUGGCUGACGCUGAGGCGCGACAGCGUGGGGAGCAAACAGG